CCCAUCAGGACGUCAUUGUCUCCAGUCACGCAGUCCAGCGAGUCACUGCUCUACCGCACGGCACUGACCCCAAGGACGUCCCGAUCCACAGCAGGGACGUAGCCACCCCUGCCAAGUCCCUGGACACAGCCCCAAGUGUUCCCUGGUGGGCCAUACUCGCUGGGCUCCUCCUCCUCCUCCUCCUCCUCCUCACCCUGCUGCCGUGGAAGGUGUCGGGUUCCUGCACAGGUGAACCAAGAUGGAGUCAUGGCUUUGGGGCGGCUUGCUAAACAGGUCAGAUGAGCCACAACGUGCGCAGGUCACAACAGGUCACCACAUGCAGGUCGGAGGUCACACAGCCACCGUCCAUGACCUGACCCCUAAGAGUGGAUACCAGCUGUCUGGAGUGGACACAGAAGUGGAUUCCUUACAGCAUCGGGACUCCUGUCAAGAUCUCGGUCACCCUCGGAGUCUCGUCACUGGCAACUUCCCGAGGAGCUGCGUCUGUGCGUCACACUCCACCUCCAAGCUAACCCAGGACUGUCCCAGGCUGAGCUGCAUGACAUCCUAUACUAAGAUCGAACCCGCCUGCAACCUCAAGAUCAAGUACGGGUCACCCAAGCCUAGGAGACAGAGUAGCCCUCGCCGAUCUAAGAGGUGGGUGAUUGCGGCUGAUUGGGGUCUGAAGAGGCUGUUUUUAGGGGCGAGAGGGCAGGGAUAAGACUGUAAGGUUACUAUCAGUGCUGAGAGACAAAAAAUGUGAAGGGUAAUUUUUGGGGCUGAUUUCGGUGCCUGAGGGGGCUGAAAGGAGUAGAGGGGAAGGAAAGGGGCUGAGAAGGAGUCGUCAGGUCGCUAUGGGUUUAAGAACGGGCUGGUUUGGGGCUUUUUAGGGGGCUGAUUUCGGGCUGCGAGUGUAAGGCCGCGGGCACACAGAAAGUGAGAAAGCUAGCGAGAGCUGCAAGGCGAGUUUCUGUGGCCAUACUCACUCUGGAAUAGCUUAAGUUAGGUUAGCAUUUUUUUUUUUAAUUAUUAUUUUGGUGUAAUGUCUCUCAUGCAUCUUCCUUUUCUCUCUCUCUCUCUCUCUCUCUCUCUCUCUCUCUCUCUCUCUCUCUCUCUCUCUCUCUCUCUCUCUCUCUCUCUCUCUCUCUCUCUCUCUCUCUCUCUCUCUCUCUCUCUCUCUCUCUCUCUCUCUUUUACAUCUAAGGAUGCGGCUCAAGGGCAACAAAAAGAUUACAAAAAAGCCCGCUACUCGCCGCUUCCACAAAAGUAAAAAGUACAGGGUAGCCAAAAGAGAGGUCAAUUUCGGGUGGAAAGGUGUCUUGAUACACUUCUUGAAAGAGGUCAAGUCCUAGGCAGGAGGAAAUACAGAAGAAGGAAGGCUAUUCCAGAGUUUACCAGUGAAGGGGGAUGAAAGAAUGGAGAUGCUGGUUAACUCUUGCAUAAGGGGACUCGUUAUCUACUUCUUCCAUUUUAUUUCACAAUUCGUACAUUAGUAUUAGUAUUAGGCAUUUACCUAGUGUACCUAGUUGUGAAAUACAGGAAAAGAGCCGUAUUAGGCUCGUGCUGUCCCGUCUCUAUAACGCUUAUUAUCCAGUUUGGCUUUAAAUUCAUGAAUCGUUUUUGCACGCACAGUCUCCUCGUCGAGUCCGUUCCAUGUUGUUGUGCUUCUGUAUGGAAAACUGUAUUUAUUGACGUCUCUCCUACAGUCGCUCUUCUUCAAUUUCUUACUAUUCCCUCUUGUCACACUUCUGUCACAUACCACUAAAUCUUCCGUCCAAUUUCUCCAAUCCCUCUUGUAUCCUGUAUUAGUUCCCCUCUCUCCUUCUCUCCAGUGUUGUAAGUCCCAAUUUCUCCAGUCUUUCUUCAUAACCCCCCGGUCCCACAGAGCCCGAAUCGGUCCCGAAUUUGAAAUUUUCAAAUUCGGGUUGAAUUCGGCUAGCUUCGGGAGCUUCGUAGUACUUCGUGAAUCAAAUCAGCGUCAAUUCGGGUUCAAAAACACUUCGGGAGAAAAAUUUCAACGUGCGCAAAUUUUCCCCCCAAAUUCAGAAGCCGUCCCGAAUUGAUAAGAAAUCGGCGUGUUUCUGUGUACUUCAUAGUACUUCAUAGUGUUUCGGUGUACUUCAUAGUACUUCAUAGUGUUUCGGUGUACUUCAUAGUACUUCAUAGUGUUUCGGUGUACUUCAUAGUACUUCAUAGUGUUUUGGUGUACUUCAUAGUACUUCAUAGUGUUUUGGUGUACUUCAUAGUGUUUCGGUGUACUUCAUAGUACUUCAUAGUGUUUCGGUGUACUUCAUAGUACUUCAUAGUGUUUUGGUGUACUUCAUAGUGUUUUGGUGUACUUCAUAGUGUUUCGGUGUACUUCAUAGUGUUUUGGUGUACUUCAUAGUACUUCAUAGUGUUUUGGUGUACUUCAUAGUACUUCAUAGUGUUUCGGUGUACUUCAUAGUACUUCAUAGUGUUUUGGUGUACUUCAUAGUGUUUCGGUGUACUUCAUAGUACUUCAUAGUGUUUUGGUGUACUUCAUAGUGUUUUGGUGUACUUCAUAGUACUUCAUAGUGUUUUGGUGUACUUCAUAGUGUUUCGGUGUACUUCAUAGUGUUUUGGUGUACUUCAUAGUGGUUUGGUGUACUUCAUAGUACUUCAUAGUGUUUUGGUGUACUUCAUAGUACUUCAUAGUGUUUUGGUGUACUUCAUAGUACUUCAUAGUGUUUUGGUGUACUUCAUAGUACUUCAUAGUGUUUUGGUGUACUUCAUAGUACUUCAUAGUGUUUUGGUGUACUUCAUAGUACUUCAUAGUGUUUUGGUGUACUUCAUAGUACUUCAUAGUGUUUUGGUGUACUUCAUAGUACUUCAUAGUGUUUUGGUGUACUUCAUAGUGUUUUGGUGUACUUCAUAGUACUUCAUAGUGUUUUGGUGUACUUCAUAGUGUUUCGGUGUACUUCAUAGUACUUCAUAGUGUUUUGGUGUACUUCAUAGUGUUUUGGUGUACUUCAUAGUACUUCAUAGUGUUUUGGUGUACUUCAUAGUAUUUCGUAGUGUUUUGGUGUACUUCAUAGUACUUCAUAGUGUUUUGGUGUACUUCAUAGUACUUCAUAGUGUUUUGGUGUACUUCAUAGUGUUUUGGUGUACUUCAUAGUACUUCAUAGUGUUUUGGUGUACUUCAUAGUAUUUCGUAGUGUUUUGGUGUACUUCGUAGUAGUCAAUUCGGCGUAGUUAGGGAGAGAAACAGGCCCCAAUUCCGUGUACUUCUCUCCCCGAAGCACCCCAAGUCACGCCGAAGUACCCCGAGCUACCCCCGAUUUACACCGAAGGACUACGAAUUGUAUCUCUAAGCAGCCGAAUUUUCGUCCCGAAGUACGCCGAUUAACACCGAACAACGACGGAACUACUAGGAAGUGCAUCC